rnacentral:pre_miRNA from 1 species
AGUGGAACUGCUGGAUCAUAUGGUGAGUCUAUUUUCAAUUUUUUUGAGGAACUGCCAUGCUUUUUUUCACAGUGGCCACAUCACUUUACUUUCCUACCAGCAGU